CUUAGAAGCAGCCACUCAUUUAAAGAGUGCGUAAUAGCUCACUGGUCAAGUGGUAAUGCGCCGAAAAUAAACGGGGCUUAAAUCUGAUACCGAAACUGCGGAUUUGUAGAGGCCUGUAGCGAGAGUAUGAUUAGACCUUGAUUAAGAAAUAUAUUUCCAAAAUAAUGACAAGCAAAGACAUUAAACAAACAAAGUGGAUAAGAUAUAAAUUACAAUAACACUAAGUGGAAAAGUCAUAAAAGACUUAAAAAUAACGAUUGAACUUGGUUUAAUCAUGUACUGGCUAUAGUGCCUCUACAUCUGGUAGAGGAGCGUUGUAUCAGGGAUGAAGCGAAGCUGUAAGGUAACGUGGACCGGAUACAAGCGAGAAUGCUGGCAUGAGUAGCGAAAAGGUGAGUGAGAAUCUCACCCGCCGAAAGCCCAAGGUUUCCUGAGCAAGGCUCGUCCUCUCAGGGUUAGUCGGGACCUAAGCCCAGGCCGAAAGGCGUAAGCGAUGGACAACAGGUUGAUAUUCCUGUACUAUUUUUAGCGUUUGAGAGAUGUGUUGACGCAGGAGGAUAUGUUGAGCGCACGAAAGGUUGUGUGCGUCCAAGUAUGUAGGUGGUUUCUCUAGGCAAAUCCGGAGAAGCUUAACACUGAGAUACGAUGGGGAGUGAAAAAUAAGUAGCGAAGCAAUAGACUCCACACUGCCAAGAAAAGACACUAUCGAGCAAAAAAAUACCCGUACCGCAAACCGACACAGGUAGGCGAGAAGAGAAUUCUAAGGCGCGCGGAAGAACCUUUGUUAAGGAACUAGGCAAAAUGACCCCGUAACUUCGGGAGAAGGGGUGCCAUUUGAAGUAUAUCACAAGCUGAGAAAGCUUCGAAUGGCCGCAGAGCAUAGGCCCAAGCGACUGUUUAUCAAAAACACAAGUUUCUGCUAAAUCGAAAGAUGAUGUAUAGGAGCUGACACCUGCCCGGUGCUGGAAGGUUAAGGGGAAAUGUUAGAGGCAACUCGAAGCAUAGAACUUAAGCCCCAGUAAACGGCGGCCGUAACUAUAACGGUCCUAAGGUAGCGAAAUUCCUUGUCGGGUAAGUUCCGACCCGCACGAAAGGUGUAACGAUUUGGGCACUGUCUCAACAAAGGAUCCGGUGAAAUUGUAGUAGUCGUGAAGAUGCGACUUACCCAUGGUAGGACGGAAAGACCCCGUGGAGCUUUACUGCAGGCUGACAUUGGAUUUUGGGAUUAAAUGUACAGAAUAAGUGGGAGACUAUGAAACUAGAGCGCCAGUUUUAGUUGAGUCACAAGUGGGAUACCACUCUUUUAAUUCUAAAGUUCUAACCAGGUACCUUGAAUCAGGUACUGGGACACUGUCAGUUGGGCAGUUUGACUGGGGCGGUCGCCUCCUAAAGAGUAACGGAGGCGUUCAAAGGUUCCCUCAGAAUGGUUGGAAAUCAUUCAAAGAGUGCAAAGGCAAAAGGGAGCUUAACUGCGACACCUACAAGUGGAGCAGAUAGGAAACUAGGACUUAGUGAUCCGGUGGUACCGAGUGGAAGGGCCAUCGCUCAACGGAUAAA
rnacentral:rRNA from 1 species